rnacentral:rRNA from 1 species
AUUGAACGCUGGUGGCAGGCCUAACACAUGCAAGUCGAGCGGGGUCCUCGGACCUAGCGGCGGACGGGUGAGUAAUGCGUAGGAAGCUACCCGAUAGAGGGGGAUACCAGUUGGAAACGACUGUUAAUACCGCAUAAUGUCUACGGACCAAAGUGUGGGACCUUCGGGCCACAUGCUAUCGGAUGCGCCUACGUGGGAUUAGCUAGUUGGUGAGGUAAUGGCUCACCAAGGCGACGAUCCCUAGCUGGUUUGAGAGGAUGAUCAGCCACACUGGAACUGAGACACGGUCCAGACUCCUACGGGAGGCAGCAGUGGGGAAUAUUGGACAAUGGGCGCAAGCCUGAUCCAGCCAUGCCGCGUGUGUGAAGAAGGCCUUCGGGUUGUAAAGCACUUUCAGUAGGGAGGAAGGGUUAAGUGUUAAUAGUACUUAACUUUGACGUUACCUACAGAAGAAGCACCGGCUAACUCUGUGCCAGCCGCCGCAGUAACAC